GCAUGAACGCUGGCGGUAUGCUUAACACAUGYCGAAGUCGAACGAAAUACGAUGGGGUUUACUCUAUCGUAUGGCAGUGGCGGACGGGUGCGUAACGCGUAAGAACUUACCUUUUGGCGAGGGACAACCGCGGGAAACUGCGGCUAAUACCUCAUAGAGCUGAGGAGCGAAAGGUGAAAACCACCAAAAGAGAGGCUUGCGUCUGAUUAGCUAGUUGGUGAGGGUAAUGGCCUCCCAAGGCGACGAUCAGUAGCUGGUCUGAGAGGAUGAUCAGCCACACUGGAACUGAGACACGGUCCAGACUCCUACGGGAGGCAGCAGUGAGGAAUUUUCCGCAAUGGGCGAAAGCCUGACGGAGCAAUACCGCGUGGAGGAGGAAGGCCCGUGGGUCGUAAACUCCUUUUCUCAGAGAAGAACACAAUGACGGUAUCUGAGGAAUAAGCAUCGGCUAACUCCGUGC
rnacentral:rRNA from 1 species